rnacentral:rRNA from 1 species
UACGAAGGGUGCGAGCGUUAUUCGGAAUUACUGGGCGUAAAGGGUGCGUAGACGGCAUGUUAAGUCCGCUGUUAAAUAUUCCGGCCUAACCGGAAAAAUGCGGUAGAAACUGGCGUGCUAGAGGGUGGAAGAGAGAAGUGGAAUUCCCGGAGUAGCGGUAAAAUGCGUAGAGCUCGGGAGGAACACCAAUGGCGAAGGCAGCUUCUUGGUCCAUACCUGACGUUGAGGCACGAAAGAGUGGGGAGCAAACAGG